UGGGGAAUAUUGCGCAAUGGGGGGAACCCUGACGCAGCAACGCCGCGUGAAUGAAGAAGGCUUUCGAGUCGUAAAAUUCUGUCCUCAGGGAAGAAGAAGUGACGGUACCUGAGGAGGAAGCCCCGGCUAACUACGUGCCAGCAGCCGCGGUAAUACGUAGGGGGCAAGCGUUGUCCGGAAUCACUGGGCGUAAAGGGCGCGUAGGCGGUAUAUUAAGUCAGGUGUGAAAGUUUUCGGCUCAACCGGAAAAGUGCACUUGAAACUAAUAGACUUGAGUACUGGAGAGGUAAGCGGAAUUCCUAGUGUAGCGGUGAAAUGCGUAGAUAUUAGGAGGAACACCGGUGGCGAAGGCGGCUUACUGGACAGAGACUGACGCUGAGGCGCGAAAGCGUGGGGAGCAAACAG
rnacentral:rRNA from 1 species